rnacentral:rRNA from 1 species
UACGAAGGGGGCUAGCGUUGCUCGGAAUUACUGGGCGUAAAGGGAGCGUAGGCGGACAUUUAAGUCAGGGGUGAAAUCCCGGGGCUCAACCUCGGAACUGCCUUUGAUACUGGGUGUCUUGAGUGUGAGAGAGGUGAGUGGAACUCCGAGUGUAGAGGUGAAAUUCGUAGAUAUUCGGAAGAACACCAGUGGCGAAGGCGACUCACUGGCUCAUUACUGACGCUGAGGCUCGAAAGCGUGGGGAGCAAACAGG